rnacentral:rRNA from 1 species
GAUUUGGGAGUGCUCGAAAGAGAACCGGAACACAGGUGCUGCAUGGCUGUCGUCAGCUCGUGUCGUGAGAUGUUGGGUUAAGUCCCGCAACGAGCGCAACCCUUAUCAUUAGUUGCCAUCAUUUAGUUGGGCACUCUAAUGAGACUGCCGGUGACAAACCGGAGGAAGGUGGGGAUGACGUCAAGUCCUCAUGGCCCUUAUGGGUAGGGCUUCACACGUCAUGCAAUGGUCGGUACAGAGGGUUGCCAACCCGCGAGGGGGAGCUAAUCUCACAAAGCCGAUCGUAGUCCGGAUCGCAGUCUGCAACUCGACUGCGUGAAGUCGGAAUCGCUAGUAAUCGUGGAUCAGCAUGUCACGGUGAAUACGUUCCCGGGCCUU